rnacentral:rRNA from 1 species
CCCUGCCUUUUGUACACACCGCCCGUCGCUACUACCGAUUGAAUGGCUUAGUGAGGCCUUGGGAUUUUGAGCACUCAGAAAUGGGCUGCCUAGAAAAACUCGGCCAAACUUGGUCAUUUAGAGGAAGU